GUGUCGUAUUAUGAAGUAAGAAAGAUAUAUGUAUUGUACAUUAAGUAAAUUAUAUAAUGGUAGCCUACUGUGGGUUUUUCUUUAAGUGUUUCCAUUCUUCUUCGAGAACUAAAGUGCAUUAAGGCAAUUUAGGAAUUUUUGGAUGACUUGUUUUCGACUUCGAAUCGACCAGUACGUGCUGAUAACAUCUCUUGACGUUCCACUCAAUUAGAUGUCUUCAUAGGAUAUCAGACGUACAAUAAAAUUAAAUUUCGACAAAACUAUAAUCCAAAAAGAAAAAAAAAAAAAAAAAAACGACAAACUGUGGGAAAGAAAACACGCGGUUGGAUGGCGAAUAUUGCGAAUUCUUUUUCACUUCCAUUAACAAGCAAAAUUUUAGUUUUGCUCGAUUUUUUAGGUAAAAAAAAAAGGAGCGAAUGCGUGUCCGAUACACGUUUUUAACUUUCAGAAUGGAGUUAAUCCACUUUUUUAAGAGUUUUAUUUACACCACAGAUGGAUUUUUCUGUUCUUUUCCUGCUUCAAGAGUUCUAACACACAACUUUUCACGGAUAUAACGCGUUAUUGGCCGAUUAUAAAAUGGCGAAAGUUCAGGACGUUGAUUGAUUUUUAUAACGUUAUUUAGUGCAAUUCGGAGGAGUCGCGAAUCAAUUUAUCGUUCCCAGUGGGCAUGUCAGCUUUGGUCACUUCAUCUUUAAAAAUCGCGGAUAAGUGGGCGAUUAUGCAGUCUCUUUAGUAGCUUUAAACAUAAGUUUCUUGUAUAUCCGAGUUGCUAAAAAAAUACACGUUUCCGUGUGGGAAUACUCAAACCAAAACAUUCUUCUAACACGUAUUUAGAUUACCUUUUUCGAUAAAAGCUUCCCGGUUACAUAGCUACAUUAAAGGAAACGAGUCGUGAUAAAAUUAUGAUCGCCGAAAUGGUUCCACUUGAUGCUUUGUGCGAAGGUCCCCCAAGACGAGAAAUCCGAUUAUAUGUUUGACAAUAUUGUUCCCCUGGUUGCAGCUAACACGCUUUCACGCAGAUUUAACGAUUUCACUCAUAAGAAUGACGCAGAUUCUUUCCUUUUAUAGCUAACAAGAUGCGAUACGAGCCCACUUAAGAGGCUCCCAAAAUAGUUUCGACGACAAGUUCCCACGUUAUAACAGAGAGAACAAAACAACGUAUUUAGAUCCAAAAAACUGUAAAGCGUAACUUUUAAAUUUUUAAAAAUGUAUAUAAUUCACCUAGAAAAUGCCGGAAGAAUUUAUUUAUUUAUUUUGGUAAACUGCUCUUUUCGUUUUGUUACUUUCUUGGAUUUUUGCCAACGUUUCGGUUCAGGCGUCGGAUUAGUUCGCCUUAUUCUCGACAGAUGGCGCUAGCGUGCACGCAUUAUUACGUUUUUUAAAUUAAACAGUACGCGGAAUAUUGUAAUCCAUUAUUCACUCUAGUCUGGCGAGGCGGCGACGCGAUUUGCAUACGAAAAUUUUUUAAGCGCGCUUGUUAAGUCUUUUUUUGCAUAUUUAAAUCGAGAAAUGACGUCAUCGGUACGAAAGAGUCGAUUAUGAGAUCAUAGCUGGAAAUAACAGGUUGCAAAUACCGCAGCAUCGAUUGUCUCGCUUUAUAUAAAGAAAGGGCUUGUCUGACUCCAGGAAAAAAAUAAGCGAGAGAGACUUGUUAUCGAAAACAUUAAUAAACAGAAAUAACUUCUUGAUAAGAGAAGCAUACAGUAGAAAGUCUGUUAAAACCAUUAUCGGGUGACGAAAAUAUCAGUCGUAACGUUUGAAGUGGCGUUAAUGGAUGGAACUAGACGUUCCAGCCAUUACAGUUUUUAAGUAAUUGUUACGCUGUCCGCAUCGGAAUCGCGUAUAGCAUCCGGUUGAAAACUUUCGUCCAAUCAGAGACGGGAUAAGAAAGGAAGAAUCGCAGUUCUCUGGAGUUUCGGACGAGCGGUUUAGGAGCACGCACCACUGCUCCUAGACCGGAUACACUACUUCCUGUGUGUGUACUCUUCUCUUGUGACCGGAGUCGCGUCACACCUCUUUCUAUAUCUCUGUUUCUCUACUGUCACUUCGUGUAACCUGUCAACACGCAGCAUGGUAGCCGAAGACAUCUUCUCGGUGGUAAGUGGAAACUGUUACUUGGCAUCACACCGGGAAUAACAAUUACCAAUCGAGACCAAUAACGCGAUUACAACACGCUCGAAAAGAGAACGCGUGUAAUGGGGUCACCUGUUACUUUCUCUCGGCCUUAAUAUGGUACCCCGUGAAGAAAUUUAUACGCGCCGUUUACUCGUAUGUAGGAUAAUAAAUUGUUAACCCGUCCCGUUUUGCGUUCAGAUCUCCAAGCAGCGUUACUCAGACGUCAACCAGAGUCGAAAAUGCUCUGCCUGGCUACACCGAAGCGCAGUGUCGAGGUGAGUGAACCCAUUGUAUCGAAAAGUAGGCCAGACGUUUCUACAACGUUUCUCUUCUAUACAAAACUUACGAUAUCCGUAGAAGUUUUCUCUAUAGCCGUAACCGGUGUUAGCGAUAGCGAGUUUAAAGGAGAUAAGGAAGUCGUUAAAACGCGAGGAUGUAGAGUUUUUUAACCAUUUUUUUUUUUUUUUUUUUUCUUUUUCGAACAGUUAACUGGUUCUUCCUGAAUUGUCGUUAAAACGGAGAUUUUUAAUACAGGCAUCAUCGCGGAAGAGCCUUAUCACCAAUUCGACCUUGGAGAGAACUGUAUAUAAUCAUAUUAAUAGCUUUUUAUCGUACAAGAACUAUCACGUAUAACGUGGACGAAUUUAAAAUUCAUUACCGCGACCUUGAAAUGACUCAUCCCUCACAAUCUACAUUUGUUUAUUGGAAAUGGAAUUUUUCUCUUAUCUGGUUCGCCACGCCCUUUAUAUUGUAUUAAAACACAGACAUUAAUAUUAUGAUUGGCAGAAAUUUUUAUCGAAGCUAAAUUCUCUCGUAGCGUGGGAGUGUUCUUGUUAUACAGGUCUAUAAUGCCCCAUCUGCCCACGCAACCAGUCACGAAUUUUAAUAGACUCUUCUCUCAGACGGCGUGGGUUCAGUUAAUAUAGAUUUUUUUUAUAUCCCUCCCACUAGGAAAGUUAUUGCUUCUAGAAUUGACCGAUUCAGAAUGGGGACUAGUUCCGAACCCCUCGAUCUCUCGAUGAUCUGCAAAUAUCAUGAAGAGCGGUUGAAACCAUCAUAAAGAAAAAUAAGUUCGGUUUUAGUUCUCUCUCUCUCUCUCUCUUAAACGUGAUCGAAAGGGCUGUUAAAAGUUAAAUGGUCUAAAAAUAUCGAACUUAUAUGUUAAAUUCUGUGAAUAACAUCGUAACAGAGUUCGAAAGUGCUAUUAAAAAUCACAAAUUCGAUUAUUUUAGUCUAUGAUUUAAAGUACGUGGUCACAGUAGUCGAAAGCGCUAUUUUUAAAAAAAUGACAAAUUUGAUUUUUAUAGCCCAUUUCUCGCUAAUUUCUGCAAAUAGCAUCGUAACAGCGAUCGAAUUUUCUAUUAAAAAUAACAAAUUUGAUUAUUUUUAUUCCAUUUUUAUGCCUAAUUUUGUAAAUAACAUUGCCA
rnacentral:lncRNA from 1 species